rnacentral:rRNA from 1 species
GAUGAAUGCUGGCGGCGUGCCUAACACAUGCCAGUCGAGCGGCAGCGAGUUUUACACUGAAUUCUGGAAGCUUCUGAGUAGUACAGAAGAUUUAUUCAAGAGUUUUGUGUAAAAUGUCGGCGAGCGGCGGACGGCUGAGUAACGCGUAGGAAUUUGCCCCAAAGUGAGGAAUAACUGCCCGAAAGGGUAGCUAAUGCCGCAUAUGGUCUUCGGAUUAAAGCCUUCGGGCGCUUUGGGAGAAGCCUGCGUUGGAUUAGGUAGUUGGUAGGGUAAUGGCCUACCAAGCCGACGAUCCAUAGCUGGUCUGAGAGGAUGAUCAGCCAGACUGGAGCUGAGACACGGUCCAGACUCCUACGGGAGGCAGCAGUGAGGAAUCUUCCACAAUGGGCGAAAGCCUGAUGGAGCAACGCCGCGUGAAGGAUGAAGGCCUUCGGGUUGUAAACUUCUUUUAUGAGUGAAGAAUAUGACGGUAACUCAUGAAUAAGCACCGGCUAACUACGUG